rfam:Salmo salar isolate Sally breed double haploid chromosome ssa11, whole genome shotgun sequence.
AAUGCACCAAUUUGUAAGUCGCUCUGGAUAAGAGCGUCUGCUAAGUGAUGUAAA